GUAGGUGGCAAGCGUUGUCCGGAAUUAUUGGGCGUAAAGCGCGCGCAGGGCGGUCCUUUAAGUCUGAUGUGAAAGCCCACGGCUCAACCGUGGAGGGUCAUUGGAAACUGGGGGACUUGAGUACAGAAGAGGAAAGCGGAAUUCCAAGUGUAGCGGUGAAAUGCGUAGAGAUUUGGAGGACACCAGUGGCGAAGGCGGCUUUCUGGUCUGUAACUGACGCUGAGGCGCGAAAGCGUGGGGAGCAAACAGGAUUAGAUACCCUGGUAGUCCACGCCGUAAACGAUGAGUGCUAAGUGUUAGGGGGUUUCCGCCCCUUAGUGCUGCAGCUAACGCAUUAAGCACUCCGCCUGGGGAGUACGGCCGCAAGGCUG
rnacentral:rRNA from 1 species